GACGGAAAUGAAUGACUGGAUCCCAAGUAGUCUCACAAAAAGUGGCAAUUCUUACACUGAGUACUGAAUGAGGAGUAACAGAUGAACAAAAAAGCAUGAGGAGGAGAUGCUUGAGGAGGAGAUUAAUUUAGGUAGAAGAAAUAUGUUCAAAGGCACAGAGUUCUGAAAAUGUUUGCUCAGUUCACCAGGGUUGUAAAAACAUUUGGUAUGCUGAGCAAAAGGGACACAUGUGACAAAGUUCCGGGGGGUGAAAUUAGAUGGUAAAGUCUUCUGUGUUAAGUGUUAAGAACUUACCUGAGAUUCAGGGUGAUACAAGAGCUCCUGGUUCCCCCAACUUCCUCUGUGUUGUAAUACAACAGUCAGGUUAGACAGGGCCAGGAAGGAGCAUCUGAAGUCAAAGUUGAUGCCAUAAUCACAAGUGCUUAGCUGCAUUCUCUUUGGUUCCAGAGGAAAUCCAACAGACCUAAUGACAGAGGAAAGAGCUUGUGCCUCCUCAAGAGCUGAGCAAAAACAAGGAUUUUAGCAUUGCUUGGGGAGGAGGAAGAUUUUGGCCAGCAGAAGCAUAGACCCUCAGAGAACUCCUGUCCCAUUGACCUGUGUGGCACUGAGAGGGCUUGUUCCAUCUUGUGACUCUAGAGCAGCACUACAGCAGUUCGUAGAACUUCCGUAGUUGAGAAGUUUUCUAAUCAAUCCUGAAAAGUCUUCUCAAACCUCAGCUGACUGUCCUCUGCCCACAAAGACAGAAACAGCCUUGCCUUGCACAGCUUAUCACUCAUUUCCGCUUGAGAGAGCCUAAUGGCAAGGGUGAUGUAGGUGCUGAGAAAACAUAUACCCUAAUUAGAACUAACUUAAGUGGUUAGUUAUAUUUUGGUUCUCAAAACAACCAAAGGGUGAAGAUCAAACUGAAUCUAAGGGUGACUACACUUGAACGAAAAAUGAUGGCCUCAGGUAGCUGAGAAGUUGAAAAAAGUGAUGUGCAAAUUUUACCUUAAUAAGUGUGACUAAAAAAAUAAGAAUUCUCAAAGAGAAAUCAGCUAGUGAAUAUCAACAAAAGAUAUACAACUUUCCAAUGUAAAGUAUCAAUAAAAAGCUGAAAAGGUAUGCCUAAUAUUCUGAAAAGCAAAAUGCUACUAUCAUUGUGGCCAGAGAAAUGCAGUCUCUAAUUAGGCCAGAGGAAGUUCCUAUCCCUCAUGGCAGAUAACGUUGAUGUAUAGGAACCAAUGGCCCAAGAUUGGGACGGGGAUGAUUCUCCAAGGUACCAGAAGAAGAAAGAAAAGAUGUGGGCACAGGUUAAAAGAAGAAAAAAAUAGACUAAUGGGAUUACAUCGAACUAAAAAGCUUCUACACAGCGAAGGAAACAAUCAACAGAAUGAAGUGACAACCUACAGACUGGAAUAAAAUAUCCGCAAACCAUACAUCUAAUAUGAGGUUAAUACUCAAAACAUGUAAGGAACUCAACUCAAGAGCAAGAAAAACCCUGGGGCUUCCCUGUUGACACCUGCUCUGGGAUUCUGUUAAUGUCCAGACUCAUACAUGCCAACUCAGAGGAGCACCCAAAGAAUAAAACUUUAACCAAGAAGAGAGUGAGCUAGAGAAUAAAUGUUUACACUUCCCCCCUCUCCCUGUCACUGAAAAUGGUCUAGAAGUGACACUGAUAGCUUUGGGGGGGGUCAUGGUCCCAAUGAAAUAGCAGUUAGUCACUCUUGGCAGUAGUCAGCUCUGUGACAAGCAUCCUCUCAUCUCUCCGUUCUGAUUCCUAGCUCCUGCCCUCUUGAUUUACACUCCCUAAUGAUAUAUGGUAGCAGCACAUAAAUCCUGACUCAGUCACUAAUUGCGGGGU